rnacentral:rRNA from 1 species
AUGCCACCUAAGGCUCCCAAAGCACCCAUCACAUGCAACUGGGUUGGAUCCAACGUCACCGACAGCAUGUUAUCUGACUUCGUGAAAACGGGUUAUUUGCCAAAGAAAGAGGUCAUGUCCUAUCGUGCUCCUGACCCGUCAGAAGAGAGGCCUCAACCCAAGGAUAGGGAAGUUGUCAUAUUUAUUGAUCACAUGAACCGGGGCUUUGCUCCUCCCGGCUCAAAAUUCUUCAGAGAUGUCCUACACUUCUUUGACCUGCGACCUCAAGACAUCGGACCCAAUUCCGUGUCAAACAUCUGCAACUUCCAAGUGUUUUGUAAGGUGUACCUCGGAGAAGAACCCAGUUUGCUGCUCUUUAGAGAGUUAUUUUACCUGAACCGCCAGAAUGAAUGUGCCAACGGGCCUAGCUUGGAACUUGGUGGAAUUUCAAUCCAACGACGGAGAGAUUGUCUCUUUCCUUAUGCUGAGCCGCCAAGCCACCCGAAAGAUUGGAACCAGACAUGGUUCUACUGCCAGGACACGUCUCCGGCUGACGAGAACCCUCUACCCGGCUUUCGCGCCCUGCGUCUGGAGUCAAAUCACCCCUUGCCAGACAAAUUAUCUCAAGCUGAACGUCAACCACUUACACCCACCAUCAACAAAAUCAAAGCUCUUCUGGGGAAUGGCUUAAAUGGUAUUGAUCUGGUCCGGGUCUGGGUUGCCUGGCGAGUGAUUCCAUUAAGCCGCCGCCCCGGCUUGAUGUGUGAUUACACAUGCCAGAAAGAUGAUCCUCUACGACACAGUCCAGACGACUUACCUGAGGACGUCAUUGAUGAUACAACCAAGUCGCUUCUGAACGAGAGCCUGGCAGAUUGCGGGAGAGUGGGCUUAAGCCCUUUCUGCAAGACUAACCCGGCUCCAGCGGCUAAUGAUAAAUUUUGGAAGGUCAAGUAUGACUAUGAAGCUGCCAAGAAAGCCAGAAAAGUUAAAAAAGCCGCCAGGAAAGCCGCUCCCCGUAAGAAGGGGAGUAAACCUAGCGCCUCGGACCUGCUUCGUCUGGAAGACACCUCCGAGUCAGAGGAGGACACUGGAACAAGUCAUGAAGUGAAUGAAGAGAAUUAUGAGAGCCGGAGGCAGACCCGGACCAGCAAAGACGCAGACCUCUCCUCCGGCUUGCCCGAAGCAUCAAGGAAGCGCCGGACUGAGGAACUUCACCUUUCUCCGGCGACUCAAUUCAGUCUAGCUUGCAGCCUUCAAGACCGCACCCGGCCCAGCAAGAGGGCGAAGAAAAAUAAGCCGGCCGAAGAGCCGAUCCUGACUGAUCCUGAGGCUUCUGCUCAUGAGCCGCCGUCUGCACCAGCUCCUGAAACCACCACUGCUCCAUCUGAUGAACAAGUUAUGGAAGGUUCUGAUAACCCGGAGAUCCCCAACCCGGCUCAUCCAAAUGAUCCGGACGUUGUAAUCACCCGGACCGAGUUUGUCGAACCGGGAAGACCCACCGUGUUGGCUAGAUGCUCUGCCAAGGAAGAACUUUUGGAACGCCGCAGGGCCAGGCUGGACAUCACUGACUAUGCUAAUCUGAGCAUUGGAGAAAUUGUCUCUGGCUAUGUUAAUCAAGUGCACAACAACCGGGACCUGGAAAUUGAUAUGGUGAAGCAAAUACAGCAAAAAUCUGAGGCCGCCUGUAAAAAAUUUGAAUCGGAAAUCUUUGAUCUAAAGAACCGCCUGAAGACUCAGGAAAGUGAGACCCAAAAGGCCAAUUCCAAAUUUGAAUUCAGUGUAUCUGCACAAUAG